rnacentral:rRNA from 1 species
AGUGAACGCUGGCGGUAGGCCUAACACAUGCAAGUCGAACGGCAGCACAGUAGGAGCUUGCUCUUACGGGUGGCGAGUGGCGGACGGGUGAGGAAUACAUCGGAAUCUACUUUUUCGUGGGGGAUAACGUAGGGAAACUUACGCUAAUACCGCAUACGACCUACGGGUGAAAGCAGGGGAUCUUCGGACCUUGCGCGAUUGAAUGAGCCGAUGUCGGAUUAGCUAGUUGGCGGGGUAAAGGCCCACCAAGGCGACGAUCCGUAGCUGGUCUGAGAGGAUGAUCAGCCACACUGGAACUGAGACACGGUCCAGACUCCUACGGGAGGCAGCAGUGGGGAAUAUUGGACAAUGGGCGCAAGCCUGAUCCAGCCAUACCGCGUGGGUGAAGAAGGCCUUUGGGUUGUAAAGCCCUUUUGUUGGGAAAGAAAAGCAGCAGGUUAAUACCCCGCUGUUCUGACGGUACCCAAAGAAUAAGCACCGGCUAACUUCGUG